CCCUAUGGGGUGCACAAUUAAAGGAGUUUGCGGAAAAGCCGAAGAAACUUCUAAUAUUCAGGACUUGUUAAUGUUUGCUUGUCAAGGACUUUCGUAUUUGACAAUUGAAGCCCGAAAACAAGGAAUCGACACAAAUGCCGAGAGUAAACACAUUACUAAUUGUCUGUUUAUGACUAUCACCAAUGCAAAUUUUGAUGAUAAAUCAAUUAUUCAGGCAAUUAAAGAAGCAAUUAAGUAUCGUGAUGAAUUAAAAAGCAAAGUUAAAAUUGCAGAGAAUCAUCCGUCAAUUAAUUGGAACGGAAAAACCGAUGAAGAGUUUAAUGCAAAAGCAAAAGAAGUCGGAACAUUAACUUACGAUUCAAACGAAGAUAUUCGCGGACUGAAACAAUAUGUUUUGUUUGGAAUAAAAGGAAUGGGCGGGAGGGC
rnacentral:rRNA from 1 species